UAAAGUGGCCCCUAUAUAAGGUUAGGAC
rnacentral:piRNA from 1 species